GACGAACGCUGGCGGCGUGCCUAAUACAUGCAAGUCGAGCGAGACUCUUCGGAGUCUAGCGGCGGACGGGUGAGUAACACGUGGGCAACCUGCCUGUAAGACUGGGAUAACACCGGGAAACCGGUGCUAAUACCGGAUAAUCCUUUUCCUCUCAUGAGGAAAAGCUGAAAGUCGGUUUCGGCUGACACUUACAGAUGGGCCCGCGGCGCAUUAGCUAGUUGGUGAGGUAACGGCUCACCAAGGCGACGAUGCGUAGCCGACCUGAGAGGGUGAUCGGCCACACUGGGACUGAGACACGGCCCAGACUCCUACGGGAGGCAGCAGUAGGGAGUCUUCCACAAUGGACGAAAGUCUGAUGGAGCAACGCCGCGUGAGCGAUGAAGGCCUUCGGGUCGUAAAGCUCUGUUGUUAGGGAAGAACAAGUACCGGAGUAACUGCCGGUACCUUGACGGUACCUAACCAGAAAGCCACGGCUAACUACGUGCCAGCCGCCGCAGUAAAAC
rnacentral:rRNA from 1 species